CACUCAGCUUGCUGAGUAUCCUUAUCUGAAUACAUAGGAUAAGCGAAGCGAACCCGGAGAACUGAACCAUCUAAGUACCCGGAGGAAAAGAAAUCAACCGAGAUUCCGUAAGUAGUGGCGAGCGAACACGGAGGAGCCUGUAUAUGAUAAUUGUUGCGAUAGAAGAACAAGCUGGGAAGCUUGGCCAUAGUGGGUGAUAGCCCCGUAUUCGAAAUUGCAAUAAUGGUACUAGGUAUACGACAAGUAGGGCGGGACACGUGAAAUCCUGUCUGAAUAUGGGGGGACCAUCCUCCAAGGCUAAAUACUCAUCAUCGACCGAUAGUGAACCAGUACCGUGAGGGAAAGGCGAAAAGAACCCCGGGAGGGGAGUGAAAUAGAACCUGAAACCUGAUGCAUACAAACAGUGGGAGCGGACUUGUUCCGUGACUGCGUACCUUUUGUAUAAUGGGUCAACGACUUACAUUCAGUAGCGAGCUUAACCGGAUAGGGGAGGCGUAGGGAAACCGAGUCUUAAUAGGGCGAUGAGUUGCUGGGUGUAGACCCGAAACCGAGUGAUCUAUCCAUGGCCAGGAUGAAGGUGCCGUAACAGGUACUGGAGGUCCGAACCCACGCAUGUUGCAAAAUGCGGGGAUGAGCUGUGGAUAGGGGUGAAAGGCUAAACAAACUCGGAGAUAGCUGGUUCUCCCCGAAAACUAUUUAGGUAGUGCCUCGAGUAAGAGACUGAUGGGGGUAAAGCACUGUUAUGGCUAGGGGGUUAUUGCAACUUACCAACCCAUGGCAAACUAAGAAUACCAUCAAGUGUUCCUCGGGAGACAGACAGCGGGUGCUAACGUCCGUUGUCAAAAGGGAAACAACCCAGACCGCCAGCUAAGGUCCCAAAUGAUAGAUUAAGUGGUAAACGAAGUGGGAAGGCCCAGACAGCCAGGAUGUUGGCUUAGAAGCAGCCAUCAUUUAAAGAAAGCGUAAUAGCUCACUGGUCGAGUCGUCCUGCGCGGAAGAUGUAACGGGGCUCAAAUCUAUAACCGAAGCUGCGGAUGCUAAUUUAUUAGCAUGGUAGGGGAGCGUUCUGUAGGCCGAUGAAGGUGACUUGAGAAGGUUGCUGGAGGUAUCAGAAGUGCGAAUGUUGACAUGAGUAGCGAUAAAGCGGGUGAAAAGCCCGCUCGCCGAAAACCCAAGGUUUCCUACGCAACGUUCAUCGGCGUAGGGUGAGUCGGCCCCUAAGGCGAGGCAGAAAUGCGUAGUCGAUGGGAAACGGGUUAAUAUUCCCGUACUUUGAUUUAGUGCGAUGUGGGGACGGAGAAGGUUAUGUCAGCGGCCUGUUGGAAUAGGUCGUUCAAGCCGGUAGGUGGAAAGUUUAGGCAAAUCCGGACUUUCAUUAACACCGAGAAGUGAUAACGAAACUCUACGGAGUUGAAGUGACAGAUACCACGCUUCCAGGAAAAGCCACUAAGCUUCAGCUAAAUCAAAACCGUACCGCAAACCGACACAGGUGGGUAGGAUGAGAAUUCUAAGGCGCUUGAGAGAACUCAGGAGAAGGAACUCGGCAAAUUGAUACCGUAACUUCGGGAGAAGGUAUGCCCUCUAAUGUGAAGCACUUGCUGCAUAAGCAUCGGAGGGUCGCAGAGAAUAGGUGGCUGCGACUGUUUAUUAAAAACACAGCACUCUGCUAACACGAAAGUGGACGUAUAGGGUGUGACGCCUGCCCGGUGCUGGAAGGUUAAUUGAAGAUGUGCAAGCAUCGGAUCGAAGCCCCAGUAAACGGCGGCCGUAACUAUAACGGUCCUAAGGUAGCGAAAUUCCUUGUCGGGUAAGUUCCGACCCGCACGAAUGGCGUAACGAUGGCCACACUGUCUCCUCCUGAGACUCAGCGAAGUUGAAAUGGUUGUGAAGAUGCAAUCUCCCCGCUGCUAGACGGAAAGACCCCGUGAACCUUUACUGUAGCUUUGCAUUGGACUUUGAAGGCACUUGUGUAGGAUAGGUGGGAGGCUUUGAAGCAGAGACGCCAGUUUCUGUGGAGCCGUCCUUGAAAUACCACCCUGG
rnacentral:rRNA from 1 species